UAGUAACGGCGAGUGAAGCGGCAACAGCUCAAAUUUGAAAUCUGGCCCUCGGGUCCGAGUUGUAAUUUGUAGAGGAUGCUUUUGGCAAGGUGCCUUCCGAGUUCCCUGGAACGGGACGCCAUAGAGGGUGAGAGCCCCGUCUGGUCGGACACCGCGCCUCUGUAAAGCUCCUUCGACGAGUCGAGUAGUUUGGGAAUGCUGCUCUAAAUGGGAGGUAUAUGUCUUCUAAAGCUAAAUAUUGGCCAGAGACCGAUAGCGCACAAGUAGAGUGAUCGAAAGAUGAAAAGCACUUUGAAAAGAGAGUUAAAAAGUACGUGAAAUUGUUGAAAGGGAAGCGAUUAUGACCAGACUUGGGCCUGUUUGAUCAACUUGGGUUCUCCCGGGUGCACUCUCUCAGGCCUAGGCCAGCAUCAGUUCGUCGCGGGGGACAAAGGUUGCGGGAAUGUGGCUCCCCUCGGGGAGUGUUAUAGCCCGUUUCGUAAUACCCUGCCUCGGACUGAGGUUCGCGCAUUUUGCAAGGAUGCUGGCGUAAUGGUCAUCAUCGACCCGUCUUGAAACACGGACCAAGGAGUCGUCUUCGUAUGCGAGUGUUCGGGUGUUAAACCCCUACGCGGAAUGAAAGUGAACGCAGGUGAGAGCUUCGGCGCAUCAUCGACCGAUCCUGAUGUUCUCGGAUGGAUUUGAGUAAGAGCAUACGGAGCCGGACCCGAAAGAAGGUGAACUAUGCCUGUAUAGGGUGAAGUCAGAGGAAACUCUGAUGGAGGCUCGCAGCGGUUCUGACGUGCAAAUCGAUCGUCAAAUAUGGGCAUGGGGGCGAAAGACUAA
rnacentral:rRNA from 1 species